rnacentral:misc_RNA from 1 species
GAUGAAGAACGUAGUGAAAUGCGAUACGUAAUGUGAAUUGCAAAUUCAGUGAAUCAUCGAGUCUUUGAACGCACAUUGCGCCCCCUGGUAUUCCGGGGGGCAUGCCUGUCCGAGCGUCAUUGCUGCCCUCAAGCACGGCUUGUGUGUUGGGCCCCGUCCUCCGAUCCCGGGGGACGGGCCCGAAAGGCAGCGGCGGCACCGCGUCCGGUCCUCGAGCGUAUGGGGCUUUGUCACCCGCUCUGUAGNNNNGGCCGGCGCUUGCCGAUCAACCCAAAUUUUUAUCCAGGUUGACCUCGGAUCAGGUAGGGAUACCCGCUGAACUUAAGCAUAUCAAUAAGCGGAGGA